AACGAACGCUGGCGGCAUGCCUAACACAUGCAAGUCGAACGAGACCUUCGGGUAUAGUGGCGCACGGGUGCGUAACGCGUGGGAACCUGCCCUUAGGUUCGGAAUAACUCCCCGAAAGGGGUGCUAAUACCGGAUAAUGUCUUCGGACCAAAGAUUUAUCGCCUUUGGAUGGGCCCGCGUUGGAUUAGCUAGUUGGUAGGGUAAAAGCCUACCAAGGCGACGAUCCAUAGCUGGUCUGCGAGGAUGAUCAGCCACACUGGAACUGAAACACGGUCCAAAAUACUACGGGAAGAAGCAGGGGGGAAUAAUGGAAAAUGGGGCAAAGCAUGAACCAAGAAUGAAGCGUGGGUGAUGAAAGAAGUAUGGUUCUAAAGCAAUUUUAUCAGGGAAGAUAAUGACGGUAUCGGGAGAAUAAGCUCCGGCUAACUACGUG
rnacentral:rRNA from 1 species